GGGGGGGAGCAGGGGCAGGCCGAGACAGGAGGAGCAAUAAUAGCUGAGUCAGAAGCAGCGGAAGGACACCCUUUUCUUCCAGAAACACAUUCUUGGGUAAGCCUUUCAUCGGCCUGGGCUGAGCUGUCGGAGACCUGCCACUAAAUAUACAUAAGACACCUUCAGGCUGGAUUUCAUCUUAAGACCUCAAUUAAAUAUCACCCCGCCUUCCUGAUUCUUAUUAUCAAUAAUACCUCUAAUAUUCUUGUUAUUAUUUUGCAAACGACGUUUCGGCGGCGGAUGUCCCCUUGGAACUGCAGCGGGAGCCACGCCCAGGAGGGCGCUCACCUGCUGCGCGGAGCCCGGGACUUUGCCCCAUCCGCGUCCCUUGCCUCUUCCCCACUCCCCCUAGGCUGAUGGAUAUCCUUGGAUGUGGAGCCCUUUAAAAAUGACAAAUGCCUUGUCAGUACAGACCAUCCCUCCCCUCCUGCUUUCUAAUCUUUUUUUUUUUUUCGGAGCAAGGAUGGACCCAGACUCAAGCCUAGCGGCGCGGAUUACAUGGCCUGCGUUGUACCGUAAACGCCAAAACCUUGGCCUAAUUUACAGCUAAUAGAUCUCAAGCAAGGGAGUCGGGAAGAAAUCAGUGGCCUAAGGAGUUAGAUUGGGGCUUUGGAGGGAUCGGAAAUUAGGGACUGGAAGUAGGAUGUGAUUCACAUUAUUCACCGCUCCCCCCAACACACACACACACACACACGACCAGGCGCCUCCCGGCUCGGCCUUCGCGAAUGCGGCCCUUGGUUCUCCGCGGCCUGUGUCCCUGUCGCUCGCUUCCCUCCAUCGGGACCACACUGAGCGUCAGGGGCGCCUGCGAUGCGCUCAGACCCCUCGCCCUCCUCCCGGCUUCUCCCAGCCCCCGGGAGGAGGCGCUGGCGCCCGGGUCGGCCUCUGGUCCCUCCUCGUCGGCGUCCCCGGAGCCCCCAUUCACAAAGCCGCGCUUGGAGGAGGCGACACACACACACACACACACACACACACACACACACACAGACACACAGACACACACACACACACACACACACACACACACACACACACAGACACACACACACACACCCCGAAGAGGGGAGCUUGAUCUUGUCUCAUUGGUGUCUCGGGCCUGAAAGGAAAAUCGUUUGGGUAAACAGCCAAGCUUCCAGGCUUAGCGCCCGGCUCCCGCCCCCGCCCCCCGCCCCUCCGCCUCCCCCACUCCCCUUCCACCCCGCCCGCCACCCACACUCCGCUCCGCAGCCGGGCCCCGAGCGAGCUCCGCGCCGCCGGCCGGGAGUCCGGGGCUCACGAGUUCAAAGGGCCGCGGCCCCGAGGGGAUGCCCUCCUCGCUGUGCCCCGGGGGGCAGAAGCGGACCGCAGGGCGGUGGGACCGGCCCGGGCCACGGGGUGAGAAAACUGAUGUGGCUAUGA
rnacentral:lncRNA from 1 species